CGGACCUUGCGCUAUUGGAUGAGCUAUGUCGGAUUAGUUAGUUGGUGGGGUAAAGGCCUACCAAGGCAGCGAUCCGUAGCUGGUCUUAGAGGAUGAUCAGCCACAUCGGGACUGAGACACCGGCCCGAACUCCUACGGGAGGCAGCAGUGGGGAAUAUUGCACAAUGGGCGCAAGCCUGAUGCAGCUAUGCCGCGUGUGUGAAGAAGGCCUUAGGGUUGUAAAGCACUUUCAGUAGUGAGGAAAAGUGUUGCGUUAAUAGCGCAAUGCUGUGACGUUAGCUACAGAAGAAGGACCGGCAAACUCCGUG
rnacentral:rRNA from 1 species